GUGAAUCAUCGAAUUUUUGAACGCAAAUUGCGCCUUUUUCUGUAGGCAUGUCUGUUUGAGGUCACCAUUUAACAAAUAAUGUGCAGCGAUUUUUGUCGCACACUUUGAUGAGCUUUCCAAGAAUUUUAAAUUUUUGUUGGCGCAUAAUGAACAGCGGGAAAGGUUUUUUCAUUUUGAGUGUAGUAAAAUCUUUGCUUGGGUUGUGAAAAAAAAUAAUCGCGCAAUGGUUGUGGCAAUUUCUU
rnacentral:misc_RNA from 1 species